AUUGAACGCUGGCGGCAGGCCUAACACAUGCAAGUCGAGCGGAUGAAGGGAGCUUGCUCCUGGAUUCAGCGGCGGACGGGUGAGUAAUGCCUAGGAAUCUGCCUGGUAGUGGGGGAUAACGUCCGGAAACGGGCGCUAAUACCGCAUACGUCCUGAGGGAGAAAGUGGGGGAUCUUCGGACCUCACGCUAUCAGAUGAGCCUAGGUCGGAUUAGCUAGUUGGUGGGGUAAAGGCCUACCAAGGCGACGAUCCGUAACUGGUCUGAGAGGAUGAUCAGUCACACUGGAACUGAGACACGGUCCAGACUCCUACGGGAGGCAGCAGUGGGGAAUAUUGGGCAAUGGGCGAAAGCAUGAUCCAGCCAUGCCGCGUGUGUGAAGAAGGUCUUCGGAUUGUAAAGCACUUUAAGUUGGGAGGAAGGGCAGUAAGUUAAUACCUUGCUGUUUUGACGUUACCAACAGAAUAAGCACCGGCUAACUUCGUG
rnacentral:rRNA from 1 species